rnacentral:rRNA from 1 species
GGUGAGUAAUGCAUCGGAACGUGUCCUGUAGUGGGGGAUAACCUCGAGAAAUCGAGGCUAAUACCGCAUACGAUCCACGGAUGAAAGCGGGGGCUCGCAAGACCUCGCGCUAUUGGAGCGGCCGAUGUCGGAUUAGCUAGUUGGUGGGGUAAAGGCCCACCAAGGCGACGAUCCGUAGCUGGUCUGAGAGGAUGAUCAGCCACACUGGAACUGAGACACGGUCCAGACUCCUACGGGAGGCAGCAGUGGGGAAUUUUGGACAAUGGGGGCAACCCUGAUCCAGCCAUGCCGCGUGCGGGAAGAAGGCCUUCGGGUUGUAAACCGCUUUCGGCCGGAACGAAAUGGUGCAGGCUAAUACCCUGUACUGAUGACGGUACCGGAAGAAGAAGCACCGGCUAACUACGUGCCAGCAGCCGCGGUAAUACGUAGGGUGCGAGCGUUAAUCGGAAUUACUGGGCGUAAAGCGUGCGCAGGCGGCUUUUUAAGACAGGUGUGAAAUCCCCGGGCUUAACCUGGGAAUUGCGCUUGUGACUGGGAAGCUGGAGUGCGGCAGAGGGGGAUGGAAUUCCACGUGUAGCAGUGAAAUGCGUAGAGAUGUGGAGGAACACCGAUGGCGAAGGCAGUCCCCUGGGUCAGCACUGACGCUCAUGCGCGAACGCGUGGGGAGCAAACAGGAUUAGAUACUCUGGUAGUCCACGCCCUAAACGAUGUCAACUAGUUGUUGGGGAAGAAACUUCUUAUUAACGUAGCUAACGCGUGAAGUUGACCGCCUGGGGAGUACGGCCGCAAGGUUAAAACUCAAAGGAAUUGACGGGGACCCGCA